UACGUAGGGCGCGAGCGUUGUCCGGAAUUAUUGGGCGUAAAGAGCUCGUAGGCGGCCUGUUGCGUCCGCUGUGAAAUCCCGGGGCUCAACCCCGGGCUUGCAGUGGAUACGGGCUGGCUAGAGGCAGGCAGGGGAGAAUGGAAUUCCCGGUGUAGCGGUGAAAUGCGCAGAUAUCGGGAGGAACACCGGUGGCGAAGGCGGUUCUCUGGGCCGAUAUUGACGCUGAGGAGCGAAAGCGUGGGGAGCGAACAGG
rnacentral:rRNA from 1 species